rnacentral:tRNA from 1 species
GGCCGGUUAGCUCAGUCGGUUGAGCGUAGUGCUGAUAACACCAAGGUCACGGGUUCGAUCCCUGCUCAGUCCC